AGCAAAAUUGUUCUGGCUGGCUGUGAUGACCACUGUAUGGAAGUUUUUCAGAUUCUACAGAGAGUACUAGACAGAAGUAGCUGUGAUGAAUUGUGAAUUACAGAGCAGGGAAUUCUUAGAGGUGAGCCCUGACCUGUGACCCUGGACUCACCUUCAGGGCCCCUCCUCCUUUCCUCUCAGCUGGAAUGGAAAAGUGAUGGUGGGAGCUGGAGCAGCCAUGUUGGACCACGAAGCAGAAACUGCAGGUGGAGGAUUGCAGAGUGAAAAUACAGCAGGAAAUUGGGCCAGUGCAGCUUCAUAAAGCAGGGCUGCCAAACCAACCCAGGCCUUUAUAUGAGGGGGAAAUAAAUGUCAGCCUUGUUAAGUCA